rfam:Halomonas campaniensis strain LS21, complete genome.
UGCGGGGUGGAGCAGUCUGGUAGCUCGUCGGGCUCAUAACCCGAAGGUCAUCGGUUCAAAUCCGGUCCCCGCUA